rnacentral:misc_RNA from 1 species
AACGCACGAGACCUGCGGACCUGCGGAAGGAUCAUUACAGAGUUCUCGCCCUCCUGGGUAGAUCUCCCACCCACUGUGAUUGCUACCGUGUUGCUUUGGCGGGCCGCUGGGCCCUGCCCGCCGCCGGCCCCGGCCGGCGCGUGCCCGCCAGAGGCUCUCCCAAACCCGAAUGUCUGGUGUCGUCUGAGUAGCACAUAAUCGUUAAAACUUUUAACAACGGAUCUCUAGAUCGGAAGAGCA